rnacentral:lncRNA from 1 species
CACUACAAGAAUUGAUAGUUUUUGCUGCGACUUUUUUGCAACAAUUUAAGUGUUGUUGGGAAGUAUAAUACAUUAGCAGCAAUAUUGUAACGAGAUCAUUGCUAAAAACAACAAUCACAUCCUUAAUUUUAGGUAGUGGGUAGUAAUUUUAUUUAAAUUUAAAAUAAUUAAAUACUUAAAGAAACAACUUCCUAAUAAUUCAAUAAUU